rnacentral:rRNA from 1 species
AUUGAACGCUGGCGGCAUGCUUUACACAUGCAAGUCGAACGGUAACAGGUUAAGCUGACGAGUGGCGAACGGGUGAGUAACGCAUCGGAACGUGCCCGAUCGUGGGGGAUAACGCAGCGAAAGCUGCGCUAAUACCGCAUAAGAUCCGAGGAUGAAAGCGGGGGACUUUAUAGCAAUAUGAGGCCUCGCGCGAUCGGAGCGGCCGAUGUCAGAUUAGGUAGUUGGCGGGGUAAAGGCCCACCAAGCCGACGAUCUGUAGCUGGUCUGAGAGGACGACCAGCCACACUGGGACUGAGAUACGGCCCAGACUCCUACGGGAGGCAGCAGUGGGGAAUUUUGGACAAUGGGCGCAAGCCUGAUCCAGCAAUGCCGCGUGCAGGAAGAAGGCCUUCGGGUUGUAAACUGCUUUUGUACGGAGCGAAAAGGUCUUCUCUAAUAAAGAAGGCUGAUGACGGUACCGUAAGAAUAAGCACCGGCUAACUACGUGCCAGCCGCCGCCGUAAAAC